GACGAACGCUGGCGGCGUGCUUAACACAUGCAAGUCGAGCGGUAAGGCCUUUCGGGGUACACGAGCGGCGAACGGGUGAGUAACACGUGGGUGAUCUUCCCUGCACUUCGGGAUAAGCCUGGGAAACUGGGUCUAAUACCGGAUACGACCUCCUAUCGCAUGGUGGGUGGGGGAAAGAUUUAUCGGUGCAGGAUGGGCCCGCGGCCUAUCAGCUUGUUGGUGGGGUAAUGGCCUACCAAGGCGACGACGGGUAGCCGGCCUGAGAGGGUGACCGGCCACACUGGGACUGAGACACGGCCCAGACUCCUACGGGAGGCAGCAGUGGGGAAUAUUGCACAAUGGGCGAAAGCCUGAUGCAGCAACGCCGCGUGAGGGAUGACGGCCUUCGGGUUGUAAACCUCUUUCAGCAGGGACGAAGCGCAAGUGACGGUACCUGCAGAAGAAGCACCGGCUAACUACGUG
rnacentral:rRNA from 1 species